rnacentral:rRNA from 1 species
AAUCAACGCUGGCGGCGUGCCUCAGACAUGCAAGUCGAACGAUUAAACUUUCCUUCGGGAAAGAUAUAAAGUGGCGCACGGGUGAGUAACACGUAAGUAAUCUACCCUCGAGUGGGGAAUAACGUCGGGAAACCGACGCUAAUACCGCAUAACGCAGCGGCACCGCAAGGUGACAGUUGUUAAAGGAGUAAUUCGCUUGAGGAGGAGCUUGCGGCAGAUUAGCUAGUUGGUAAGGUAACGGCUUACCAAGGCUACGAUCUGUAUCCGGUCUAAGAGGACGGUCGGACACACUGACACUGAAUAACGGGUCAGACUCCUACGGGUGGCUG